rnacentral:lncRNA from 1 species
UUUAAGAAAAAGAGAGAGAGGCAGAGAGAAAGCCUGCUUCCCUUUCUAAUUACAGUCCCAUUUCCUUAGCAAGUCCUUGAAAAAAGAAUUCCCCAAGUCUCUAAUCAUCUCUCUAGUCGUAAUCUCCAUAAUUGUGUCCCUUCCAGAUUCCUUCUUGGCACAGCCCAGAGACUGAUUUGCUCCAUGUGGUUAAAAACCUUUUA